GCUGUUGGCAGCGACAUUAACCACUCCUGCUUCUCCAUCUCCAUUACAUCACCUGCUUGGAAAGAAGCAAAUAGAAAUUUCUAUGGGAAUUUAGAACUGUGAAGAAAGGGCAAGAUAACACCUCAUGAGAAUUAGAAGUUUGUUAGUAACUAAAACUGACAAAUCUCUCUGGAGACAACUGACAUGGCUUCACUGGAAUUAUAAAUGCAAGUGAAUGAUACCGUUUUAAAUUGAAUGAAAAAACCUUCCUUCCUAAUGAAUGGAACCCAGAACGAAGUGGGGACUUACCAAGGGCAAUAAUAUUCCUAAAAGCCUCCAACGUGACUUCUGCGCACAAGGCUCUCUGACCAGAAUCCAGCAGCGCCCAUUCCUCUUCUGUGAAAUCCACAGUGACCUCCUCAAAGGGGUCAGAGCACUGGAAUGAGAAUGUUGUAUAGGAGACAGUCCCAGAAAAGACAUUUUUCCUCUUAUUACACAAAACAGACCUUUACAAGAAACCAAAUGGGCAUUUGCUUGUAGGACAAACGUACCUCUGGAUGUCCACAUGGUCUUGUGACUGUGAAGCCGCCAGUCUCCCUUGCCCUAAUAGCUGGUGUUCUGAAGUUCACAAAACAUGACUGCAUCCAAACUGCAGAAUAGCAACACAGCAACUUUUGGGUUGCUUCCUGCUGGUUUGGAAUUACUCAGCAAGUGGGGUUUGGGGAGUAGAAUCCAGAGACUCACCUGACUUGGGGAAGAAAUUCUACAUGCUUUAUAAAACAGGACACAGCGACUAGGAAUUUCUUCCAUGACCUAUUUCAAAAGGGCUUGGAAAUCUAAAGGCACUUGAAGAAUAGUUUUACUGAUGCAGCCAUUUAGUGUUGAUCUUAGGGCUUAUUCAUGGAAAAUCUGUCCUUUAGAUACAAUAUUUCUGAAGCAGUUAUUAUGCUAUUACAAUAAUUUUAAUUCACUGAGGUUUUUUUAACUGGUUUCUCCACUCUUCUGUGAAGCUACAAAAUAUUCAACAAAUACAUUGCCUAACACAAGCCUCUCAGGCUCUAAGUUGUCUUGUUUGUGUCUCCAAAAUGAUCUUGAGAGUGGAUGAAUAAGGCUUGGGGGUGGGGGUGGGGGGGGAAGAUACUGUUCAACUAUACAUAGACUCAGCAUUUCGCUAUACUGCAGAAGAGCUCAGGAAGGGAGCUUGAACUCUGCUGCUCUCAGAAG